rnacentral:rRNA from 1 species
UACGUAGGGCGCAAGCGUUGUCCGGAAUUAUUGGGCGUAAAGAGCUCGUAGGCGGUCUGUCGCGUCGGCUGUGAAAACUCGGGGCUCAACUCCGAGCUUGCAGUCGAUACGGGCAGGCUAGAGUUCGGCAGGGGAGACUGGAAUUCCUGGUGUAGCGGUGAAAUGCGCAGAUAUCAGGAGGAACACCGGUGGCGAAGGCGGGUCUCUGGGCCGUAACUGACGCUGAGGAGCGAAAGCGUGGGGAGCGAACAGG